rnacentral:rRNA from 1 species
GCGGCCUAUCAGCUUGUUGGUGAGGUAAUGGCUUACCAAGGCGUCGACGGGUAGCUGGUCUGAGAGGAUGAUCAGCCACACUGGGACUGAGACACGGCCCAGACUCCUACGGGAGGCAGCAGUGGGGAAUCUUGCACAAUGGGCGAAAGCCUGAUGCAGCAACGCCGCGUGCGGGAUGAAGGCCUUCGGGUUGUAAACCGCUUUCAGUAGGGAAGAAAAUGACGGUACCUACAGAAGAAGGUGCGGCCAACUACGUGCCAGCAGCCGCGGUGACACGUAGGCACCGAGCGUUAUCCGGAUUUAUUGGGCGUAAAGAGCUCGUAGGCGGUUCGGUAAGUCGGGUGUGAAAGCUCUGGGCUCAACCCAGAGAGGCCACCCGAUACUGCUGUGACUUGAGUGCGGUAGGGGAGCGGGGAAUUCCUGGUGUAGCGGUGAAAUGCGCAGAUAUCAGGAGGAACACCAGUGGCGAAGGCGCCGCUCUGGGCCGUAACUGACGCUGAGGAGCGAGAGCAUGGGUAGCAAACAGGAUUAGAUACCCUGGUAGUCCAUGCCGUAAACGUUGGGCACUAGGUGUGGGUUUCAACCAACGAGAUCCGCGCCGUCGCUAACGCAUUAAGUGCCCCGCCUGGGGAGUACGG